GAUGAAGAACGCAGCAAAAUGCGAUAAGUAAUGUGAAUUGCAGAAUUCAGUGAAUCAUCGAAUCUUUGAACGCACAUUGCGCCCGCCAGUAUUCUGGCGGGCAUGCCUUUUCGAGCGUCAUUUCAACCCUCAAGCACAGCUUGGUGUUGGGACUCGCGUUAAUUCGCGUUCCCCAAAUUGAUUGGCGGUCACGUCGAGCUUCCAUAGCGUAGUAGUAAAACCCUCGUUACUGGUAAUCGUCGCGGCCACGCCGUUAAACCCCAACUUCUGAAUGUUGACCUCGGAUCAGGUAGGAAUACCCGCUGAACUUAAGCAUAUCAAUAAGCGGAGGA
rnacentral:misc_RNA from 1 species